UACGGAGGGUGCGAGCGUUGUCCGGAAUCACUGGGCGUAAAGGGCGCGUAGGCGGCCUGAUAAGUAGGGGGGUGAAAUCCUGCGGCUUAACCGCAGGGCUGCCUUCUAAACUGUCAGGCUGGAGCACAGUAGAGGCAGGUGGAAUUCCCGGUGUAGCGGUGGAAUGCGUAGAGAUCGGGAGGAACAUCAGUGGCGAAGGCGGCCGCCUGGACCAGCACUGACACUGAGGCACGAAAGCGUGGGGAGCAAACAGG
rnacentral:rRNA from 1 species